rnacentral:rRNA from 1 species
GAUGAACGCUAGCGGCAGGCCUAAUACAUGCAAGUCGAGCGGUAAGGCCCCUUCGGGGGUACACGAGCGGCGGACGGGUGCGUAACGCGUAUGCAAUCUGCCUUGUAGAUGGGGAUAGCCUGGAGAAAUUCAGAUUAAUACCCAAUGGUAUCAGAGGAUCGCAUGGUUUUCUGAUUAAACGUUCCGGCGCUACAAGAUGAGCAUGCGUGACAUUAGAUAGUUGGUGAGGUAACGGCUCACCAAGUCGACGAUGUCUAGCUGGUCUGAGAGGAUGAUCAGCCACACUGGGACUGAGACACGGCCCAGACUCCUACGGGAGGCAGCAGUAGGGAAUAUUGGACAAUGGACGCAAGUCUGAUCCAGCCAUGCCGCGUGAAGGAAGACGGCUCUCCGAGUUGUAAACUUCUUUUAGCAGGGAAUAAGCGACAGCUAUACGCUGUUUUGAACGUACCUGCAGAAUAAGCACCGGCUAACUCCG